GAUGAACGCUGGCGGCGUGCCUAAUACAUGCAAGUCGAGCGAAUGGAUUAAGAGCUUGCUCUUAUGAAGUUAGCGGCGGACGGGUGAGUAACACGUGGGUAACCUGCCCAUAAGACUGGGAUAACUCCGGGAAACCGGGGCUAAUACCGGAUAACAUUUUGAACCGCAUGGUUCGAAAUUGAAAGGCGGCUUCGGCUGUCACUUAUGGAUGGACCCGUGUCGCAUUAGCUAGUUGGUGAGGUACCGGCUCACCAAGGCAACGAUGCGUAGCCGACCUGAGAGGGUGAUCGGCCACACUGGGACUGAGACACGGCCCAGACUCCUACGGGAGGCAGCAGUAGGGAAUCUUCCGCAAUGGACGAAAGUCUGACGGAGCAACGCCGCGUGAGUGAUGAAGGCUUUCGGGUCGUAAAACUCUGUUGUUAGGGAAGAACAAGUGCUAGUUGAAUAAGCUGGCACCUUGACGGUGCCUAACCAGAAAGCCACGGCUAACUACGUGCCAGCCGCCGCAGUAA
rnacentral:rRNA from 1 species